UUUCCAAGUUAUUAUUUUAAUAAAACAUAUUAGGAUUAUAGAUUAUAUUUAUAUUUAUUGUUUAACUCGAAAUUAUGGCUGUAUUUUUUUUUCUGUGCAAUGGCUAAACUGCUUUUUACACCAAAGCCCAGAAAUUUAUGCGCAUUUUGAUCGGAUCUCGAAAACCGCAGCGUGGGCGUGGCAGAGCAUUUAAAGUGAAAAAAACGUAUUUUCCAGCGAAAGUAAGCAGAAGUACAAAAUGAAAUGUGCUUUUUGUCUAACAGUUCCAGGGAAAUGAUAAAAGAAGCUAACACUUUUAGAUAGAAGUUACCUGUAAAAUGACAAAUAACUGCAGUAAUGUGGAUGACAUAAAUUUCACGGAAAUCUCAAUAAUCAUAAAAUUAAAAUACAAAUUCCGUGCAGCACGAUUUCCAGUAUUUAGACCGAGAACAUCAGGCCCAGCUAACCCAGCAGAAUCGCACAAUCGCAGCAUGUUGCACUCUCAGCUCUGGAGCCAACCGUUACUGCCAAGGCCCAAACAGAAACAGCCAGCCAGUCAGCUGGGGGGAGACCGCAAAUUUAUGAACUCACAACUCAGUUGCAGAUAUUUCGGGGAGCUUGGAGUGGGGAAUGGGAGUUGCACAGUCGAGAACUGAGAAUCAUUUGCUGGCAGUGCACUUUUUGCAGCUCCAGAAGAGCAAGUUGUAAUCUUCAGCAACAGCAUCGUCAUCAUCGUCUCGGCUGUUAAUUACGUGGCUCAAUUGCUCGAGAUUAAUGUGUUUCCGUUUUGUAAUUAAAUUGAGAGCUCAGGUCCCCAAGAAGGGGCUUCGAGUCGCGAGCUCUAAGCAGGUCAAGCACCAGUUGAGAAGCUCAAACUUGACCUUAAUUGCAAUUUGUGCACAAUUUUAUAUAUUAUAUUAAAAUGAUUUGUUUUUUUUUUGGCCUUUCACCUUCAAUAAGAGAGGAGGCUACGGAAAUGAAAAGGAAAUAAAGUUUUUCAACUACA